rnacentral:rRNA from 1 species
AAAUGAAUUGACGGGGGCCCGCACAAGCAGCGGAGCAUGUGGUUUAAUUCGAAGCAACGCGAAGAACCUUACCAAGGCUUGACAUCACUCUGGAUAUGCUGGAAACAGUAUAGCCCUUCGGGGCAGAGCGACAGGUGGUGCAUGGUUGUCGUCAGCUCGUGUCGUGAGAUGUUGGGUUAAGUCCCGCAACGAGCGCAACCCCUGCGGUCAGUUACCAUCAUUAAGUUGGGGACUCUGACCGGACUGCCGUGGACAACACGGAGGAAGGCGGGGACGACGUCAAAUCAUCAUGCCCCUUAUGUCUUGGGCUACACACGUGCUACAAUGGCCGCAACAAAGAGCAACGAACCCGUAAGGGGGAGUGAAUCACAUAAAAGCGGUCUCAGUUCGGAUUGUGGGCUGCAACCCGCCCACAUGAAGAUGGAGUUGCUAGUAAUCGCGAAUCAGAAUGUCGCGGUGAAUGCGUUCCCGGGCCUUGUACACACCGCCCGU